AUUGCACAUUUCAUUUGAAAACAUCCGUAUAUGAGGCUUUCUAAAAACCGCUUCAACAACCUGGAAAUCUUCUUAAGAUAAGUUUUUCCUCUCAGAAAAUGCAGUUUUCAGAUUCUCUCAGUGGGAUUAUUUGGAUCAACGUCCAUGUCUGCCUCCCUUUUACUUUCCUGCUUAUCACUUUGUGCUGUCUGGUGCGGUUGGAUGGUGCUCCGGUCUCCUACUACAUGAACCUUUUGCUCUCUAAUCUAGUCCAGCUCAUCAUUCUGAUCGCUUUACCUCAACAUUCAGAUUAUCACUGGAAACAUCUGGACUCUGUUCACGUCUAUGCCUGCUGCGUUUUGGCCAGUCUCUACUUCAGGACGGUCAUAGCUCUGGAAAGGUGUUUUUUAAUUUCCUUCUCGCUGCAAUACAGUGUGACACAAACCAAAGGCUUGGUGAUCGUCUGUGUUUUGAUCUGGGUGUUCAGUUUUGGUUUGGGCCUUCUGUUUUUAAAGUUCCUUCAUGGACUGUUGUUCCUGGGUUUUGCGCUCCUUCCUGCUCCUGUGUUCAUUGUGUGUCUGCUUUGGACCCUCAAAUCGAUAAACACAAACUUAUCAGUGUCAUCUGAAGAAAAAGACAGAACUAUGGGAAUGCUUCUGGUUUUGCUGGUUAAUUACACCGUCUCAAUCUUCCCUGCAGUUAUUUAUUAUAUUUACUUAGGAGAUUUUAAUCGCUAUUAUUUUAAAAUUGCUGAUUUUUUCCUGACCCUGUUUCUCUUUGGUCCAUGUAUGGAUUUGUUCUUGUUCGUUUUCAUGUGCAAAGGACUUAUUGACAAGCUGCUGGUGUGUCUGUGCAGCUGCAGGAAGGAAACCAGUGAAGGAUCUCAUCUCAGCAGCUCAUCAGCUUGAAUACUGUAAAGAAAUACAUUUACUUUUAGUUUAAUAAAACAAACAGAUCCAAUUUAUAUGCAGACAUAAGGAGUCUGCAUAUAAAUCAUAUUCAUCUGACCAGGCAGAGAUUUGAAACCAUGUAAUAUAUUCAGCAGAGAAAACUGAUUUAAUUGAACUAUUCAAAAUUAUUGUGUGAAAUUCAACAACUUCUAUAAUAUUUUUAGAUUGUUGCUUUACAUUUUUAAAGCUCCUUUGCCUUACAGGUUUCUGCUUUGGUCAAAAUUUACUGAUUUUUUUUUUUAUUUUGAAGGAAAAAAAGUUAAUCAUGUGAAAUAUGAGUAAUGAAAUUGUGAUUGUGCCAUGCUAUAAAUAAAGAAUAUACUUGUUGUCACUCGCUGUGUUGUGAUAUUGGUGUCACAAAUCUACU